GAUUUUUGAUAAUAGAUAUCUUGAUUCUCGCAUCAAAGAACGUAAUGAAAUGCGAUAGUUGGUGUGUAUUGUAGGAUCCAACAAACCAUUGAGUCUUUUGGUUGAGGGCACAUCUACCAAGGCAUCA
rnacentral:rRNA from 1 species